rnacentral:rRNA from 1 species
UACGAGUGCCUCAAGCGUUAUCCGGAAUCAUUGGGCGUAAAGGAUGUGUAGGUGGUUGUGUUAGUCUUGUGUUAAAUUCUUCGGCUUAACCGGGGGCAUGCACGGGAAACGGCACGACUAGAGGAUGCGAGGGGUCUGCGGAACUCAUAGUGUAGCGGUAAAAUGCGUUGAUAUUAUGGGGAACACCAAAAGCGAAGGCAGCAGACUGGAGCACUCCUGACACUGAAACAUGAAAGCGUGGGUCGCGAAGUGGG